CAAUUAUCAAAAUUACUUUUGCCAUUGAAGGAAAGGAACUACUGGCAAGAACUUCUAAGGAUUAGUAUUAUUCUAAAAAAAACUUUAAAAAAAUCUGAAUAGAGACUCAUUUCUGUCAUAAGAGGGGCAGAAGAGAGAAGGAAUAGGAUUCACAGAAUAAGCCCAAUAAAAGAACAAAAUAACUUCAUUCUCUAAAAAUAAAGGACAGCAUGUAAGAUGGGUAAAGGUGAGAUCCUUUUGGAUAUCUUGGAUAAGAACCCUUAAAUUUAUCUACAGACCUGUCACCUUGGAGAGCUGCUACUGUUUUAAAGAUCCUGGCUCCUCUGUGGUAUGCUGAAUUGGAACAUAAGAUUUCUCUUCAUCAUUCCUUCUCACUUGGGGUUAAGACCCUUGUCCUCUCCUAUACUCAGAGUUCCUUCCCUUGAUCUAAUAAAGAUACAUCCAUGUUAGAAACAGUCCUGCUCACAAGGAAAAAUAAAGUGGAAAUUUGCCAUAAAGUGGCUGCCUCACAGUGGAAACCCGAAGUCUGGGUUAUCGGGUGAUUACAACAAAUAGUUUUUGAGCAUCUGCACUGUGGUAGACACUUGUACACACAGGAUACACUGAAGAACAAACAUAAAGUAGUGGCCUGUAACAGGAUGGAUUCAGUACAGAUGCUCUACAGUUAAGAGUAUAAGAAAUGAACUCUUCUUCAACCUGGACUUCAGAUUCUCUCUACUUCUUGCCUUGUGAAUCUGCACAUCCUAUCAUAGCAGUCGUAGCAUCUUACUCCCUGAACACAUAAAUCAGGGUGCGCUACUGGGCUUCCCAGGCCUGUCCUUGGGACCAGGUGUUGAAAUCACCUUUCAGAAGUUGGCAUCCCAGCUAAAUAAAUUUAACUGGAUACUCAGUUCCAGGUUGCCUCUUUCAAAAGGCACAUCACCCCAUGCCUUCAUAAAAAUGGUAGCCGACAUUUAUUAAGCAUGCGGUUUGCCAAAUGGUAACUGCAUUAUUUAGUAAUUUAAAAAAAUUAAAGUUUGUUUUUGUUUUUGUUGUGUUUGAGACAGGGUCGUGCUCUGUCGCCCAGGCUGGAGUGCAGUGGCCUGAUCAUGGCUUACUGAAGUC
rnacentral:lncRNA from 1 species